rnacentral:rRNA from 1 species
AACGAACGCUGGCGGCAGGCCUAACACAUGCAAGUCGAGCGCCCUUUCGGGGGAGCGGCGGACGGGUGAGUAACGCGUGGGAAUAUGCCCUUCUCUACGGAAUAGCCUCGGGAAACUGAGAGUAAUACCGUAUACGCCCUGUGGGGGAAAGAUUUAUCGGGGAAGGAUUAGCCCGCGUUGGAUUAGGUAGUUGGUGGGGUAAUGGCCUACCAAGCCGACGAUCCAUAGCUGGUUAGAGAGGAUGAUCAGACACACUGGGACUGAGACACGGCCCAGACUCCUACGGGAGGCAGCAGUGGGGAAUCUUGGACAAUGGGGUCAACCCUGAUCUCGCCAUGCCGCGUGAGUGAUGAAGGCCUUAGGGUAGUAAAGCUCUUUCAGCUGGGAAGAUAAUGACGGUACCAGCAGAAGAAGCCCCGGCUAACUCCGUG